rnacentral:rRNA from 1 species
AACGAACGCUGGCGGCAUGCCUAACACAUGCAAGUCGAACGAGACCUUCGGGUCUAGUGGCGCACGGGUGCGUAACGCGUGGGAAUCUGCCCUUGGGUUCGGAAUAACAGUUAGAAAUGACUGCUAAUACCGGAUGAUGUCGAAAGACCAAAGAUUAAUCGCCCAAGGAUGAGCCCGCGUAGGAUUAGGUAGUUGGUGGGGUAAAGGCCCACCAAGCCGACGAUCCUUAGCUGGUCUGAGAGGAUGAUCAGCCACACUGGGACUGAGACACGGCCCAGACUCCUACGGGAGGCAGCAGUGGGGAAUAUUGGACAAUGGGGCGAAAGCCUGAUCCAGCAAUGCCGCGUGAGUGAUGAAGGCCUUAGGGUUGUAAAGCUCUUUUACCAGGGAUGAUAAUGACAGUACCUGGAGAAUAAGCUCCGGCUAACUCCGUGCCAGCCGCCGCAGUAAAAC